GUCUAACUCCUUCCCCUGCUA
rnacentral:tRNA from 2 species